rnacentral:rRNA from 1 species
UACGUAGGGACCAAGCGGUUGUUCGGAUUUACUGGGCGUAAAGGGCGCGUAGGGCGGCGUGUUAAGUCACUUGUGAAAUCUCUAAAGCUUAACUUAGAACGGUCAAGUGAUACUUGGAUGUGCUAGAGUGCAGAAGGGGCAACCGGAAUUCUUGGUGUAGCGGUGAAAUGCGUAGAUAUCAAAGAGGAACACCUGAGGUGAAGACGGGUUGCUGGGCUGACACGUGACGUG